UACGAAGGGGGCUAGCGUUGCUCGGAAUCACUGGGCGUAAAGCGCACGUAGGCGGACUCUUAAGUCGGGGGUGAAAUCCUGGAGCUCAACUCCAGAACUGCCUUCGAUACUGGGAGUCUUGAGUUCGGGAGAGGUGAGUGGAACUGCGAGUGUAGAGGUGAAAUUCGUAGAUAUUCGCAAGAACACCAGUGGCGAAGGCGGCUCACUGGCCCGGAACUGACGCUGAGAUGCGAAAGCGUGGGGAGCAAACAGG
rnacentral:rRNA from 1 species